rnacentral:rRNA from 2 species
UUGCCUUAGUAACGGCGAGUGAAGCGGCAACAGCUCAAAUUUGAAAGCUGGCCCUUUUAGGGUCCGCGUUGUAAUCUGUAGAGGAUGGUUCGGCGAGGGCUCCCGCCUAAGUCCCCUGGAACGGGGCGUCAUAGAGGGUGAGAAUCCCGUAUGCGGUGGGUUGCUUUAGCCAUGUGAACCUCCUUCGACGAGUCGAGUUGUUUGGGAAUGCAGCUCUAAAUGGGAGGUAAAUUUCUUCUAAAGCUAAAUACCGGCCAGAGACCGAUAGCGCACAAGUAGAGUGAUCGAAAGAUGAAAAGCACUUUGGAAAGAGAGUUAAAAAGUACGUGAAAUUGUUGAAAGGGAAGCGCUUGCAACCAGACUUGUCCGCAGUUGCUCAGCCGGUCUCCUGACCGGCGUACUCUUCUGCGGCCAGGCCAGCAUCAGUUCGGGCGGUCGGAUAAAGGCCUCGGGAAUGUGGCUCCUCUCGGGGAGUGUUAUAGCCCGGGGCGGAAUGCGGCCAGCCUGGACUGAGGAUCUCGCUUCGGCAAGGAUGCUGGCGUAAUGGUUGUAAGCGGCCCGUCUUGAAACACGGACCAAGGAGUCUAACAUCUAUGCGAGUGUUUGGGUGUCAAACCCAUACGCGUAAUGAAAGUGAACGGAGGUGGGAACCCGCAAGGGCGCACCAUCGGCCGAUCCUGAUGUCUUCGGAUGGAUUUGAGCAAGAGCAUAGCUGUUGGGACCCGAAAGAUGGUGAACUAUGCCUGAAUAGGGUGAAGCCAGAGGAAACUCUGGUGGAGGCUCGCAGCGGUUCUGACGUGCAAAUCGAUCGUCAAAUUUGGGUAUAGGGGCGAAAGACUAAUCGAACC